rnacentral:rRNA from 1 species
AUUGAACGCUGGCGGCAUGCUUUACACAUGCAAGUCGAACGGUAACAGCACUUCGGUGGCUGACGAGUGGCGAACGGGUGAGUAAUACAUCGGAACGUGCCUAGUAGUGGGGGAUAACUACUCGAAAGAGUAGCUAAUACCGCAUGAGAUCUAAGGAUGAAAGCAGGGGACCUUCGGGCCUUGCGCUACUAGAGCGGCUGAUGGCGGAUUAGGUAGUUGGUGGGAUAAAAGCUUACCAAGCCGACGAUCUGUAGCUGGUCUGAGAGGACGACCAGCCACACUGGGACUGAGACACGGCCCAGACUCCUACGGGAGGCAGCAGUGGGGAAUUUUGGACAAUGGGCGCAAGCCUGAUCCAGCAAUGCCGCGUGCAGGAUGAAGGCCUUCGGGUUGUAAACUGCUUUUGUACGGAACGAAAAGCCCUCUUCUAAUACAGGAGGGUCAUGACGGUACCGUAAGAAUAAGCACCGGCUAACUACGUG